rnacentral:rRNA from 1 species
UACGUAGGAUGCGAGCGUUAUCCGGAUUUAUUGGGUUUAAAGGGUGCGUAGGCGGAUUUUUAAGUCAGCGGUAAAAUGUCCGGGCUCAACCCGGGCCGGCCGUUGAAACUGGGGAUCUUGAGUGGGCGAGAAGUAUGCGGAAUGCGUGGUGUAGCGGUGAAAUGCAUAGAUAUCACGCAGAACUCCGAUUGCGAGGGCAGCAUACCGGCGCCCGACUGACGCUGAGGCACGAAAGCGUGGGGAUCGAACAGG